GCUUAGCCCUAAACCUAGGUAGAAUGUACACAACUCUACCCGCCAGAGAACUACAAGCGAAAAACUAGAAACUCUAAGGACUUGGCGGUGCUCCACACCAACCUAGAGGAGCCUGUCCUAUAAUCGAUACUCCACGUUAAACCUUACCAUUUCUUGCCCCUCAGCCUAUAUACCGCCGUCGCCAGCCUACCUCAUGAGAGCCCAACAGUAGGCAAAACAGUUUAUAACUAAAACGUCAGGUCAAGGUGUAGCUUAUGAAAUGGAAGAGAUGGGCUACAUUUUCUACCAUAGAAAACACGGAUGGCACAAUGAAAUUAGUGCCUAAAGGCGGAUUUAGCAGUAAGAUAUAUAAGUCGCUAUAUCUUAAGCCUGCCCUGGAGCGCGCACACACCGCCCGUCA
rnacentral:rRNA from 1 species